UACGGAGGAUCCAAGCGUUAUCCGGAAUCAUUGGGUUUAAAGGGUCCGUAGGCGGUUUGUUAAGUCAGUGGUGAAAGCCCAUCGCUCAACGGUGGAACGGCCAUUGAUACUGUUAAACUUGAAUUAUUAGGAAGUAACUAGAAUAUGUAGUGUAGCGGUGAAAUGCUUAGAGAUUACAUGGAAUACCAAUUGCGAAGGCAGGUUACUACUAAUGGAUUGACGCUGAUGGACGAAAGCGUGGGUAGCGAACAGGAUUAGAUACCCCGAGU
rnacentral:rRNA from 1 species